CCUACGGGAGGCAGCAGUGAGGAAUAUUGGUCAAUGGGCGAGAGCCUGAACCAGCCAAGUCGCGUGAGGGAGUACUGCCCUAUGGGUUGUAAACCUCUUUUGUCGGGGAGCAAAAGCCGGACGUGUCCGGCUGUGAGAGUACCCGAAGAAAAAGCAUCGGCUAACUCCGUGCCAGCAGCCGCGGUAAUACGGAGGAUGCGAGCGUUAUCCGGAUUUAUUGGGUUUAAAGGGUGCGCAGGCGGAUGUGUAAGUCAGCGGUAAAAUCGUGGGGCUCAACCCCAUCCAGCCGUUGAAACUGGGGAUCUAGAGUGUGCGAGAGGUAGGCGGAAUGCGUGGUGUAGCGGUGAAAUGCAUAGAUAUCACGCAGAACCCCGAUUGCGAAGGCAGCAUACCGGUGCGCAACUGACGCUCAGGCACGAAAGCGUGGGUAUCGAACAGGAUUAGAUACCCGAGUAGUC
rnacentral:rRNA from 1 species